rfam:Pteropus alecto contig85902, whole genome shotgun sequence.
GUCUAUGGCCAUGCUACCCUGAACAAGCCCAAUUCCAUCUGAUCUCAGAAGCUAAGCAGGGUUGGGCCUGGUUAGUACAUGGAUGGGAAACCACCUAGGAAGACCAGGUGCUGUAGGUG